rnacentral:lncRNA from 10 species
CCAACUGACUUCAAUUAUAUGUAGAACCAUCCAAAAGUCUCCUCUCAGGCAUUAAGGAACAUGAACGCUUUUAGGGGAUUUCCAAACUGGAAAUAACCAACACAACUAGGUCAAGCAUCCAUCAUGCACCAUGUACACCACAGUGCACCACAGCUGAGACCAGUGUGGAUCCCACCAUCAGCAGCUUUUCCAAAGGACCCAGGCAAAAUGUGUGGUGUUUCUGAGGGCAUCCUCUUCCACAUUUUUAGCGUAAUCUACCUCGACACACAGAUGCAAUGCUCACAGAGGCCAGAACGCUUCCCAGAAGCAGCCAAGAGUGAGCACUUUCUCAUGGUGUAAAAUAUUCUACCAAAACCUUAUUUCCA